CUGCAAUUUAAAAACGUCAACAUUAGAACCAAAAUCCCACCCUCUUUUUUUUUUUCAAUUCAAUUACAAAAAACAACUCAUCCCAUAACUUAUAAUCCGAAUUCAAUAGACAAACACUAUGAAAUAUCAGAAAUUCCGAUCUGUUGCAUGCAAAAUAUUCUACAACCUUAACCGACCGGUUAAUCAGGGUUUAACACAAAUCAGACAAACGUAUCACAGACCGGUCCAGUACGGAUCCGGUUUCAUAAUCUUUACCUGGGCCACAACGAAUGGAGCACUUGCGAUCACAUCGGGACGUCUUUCUAGCUGAAGAAAAGAGAAGAUCGACAAGAAGUUAUUAUACAAAUGGAGGAGAGAUAUACCUUGUGGAGGAAACUAAGAAAGAAGAGAGUACUCACAGUCACGUUGGACGCAGGCGGUGGAGCAACCGUCGUAACAGUCUCCGGGGCCUAAUUGAGCCUCCGCCACCAUAUCCAAGCUGGAAGAUAAAGCCAUCAGAAUC
rnacentral:lncRNA from 1 species